AUGAUUCAUACUCGCUUGGCGCGUUGGUUGGUGUGGAGCGUCGACAUACAACCAACGGUGUGCGCCGUCACCGCUUUGCAGCCCGUGACUCGGCGAGUAUGCAGCAACAGCUAUUGGGCACGUGCACGGCCUCUUUUUUGUCCCUGGAAGCGAAAAUUAGCGAGCCCAAUACUCCACACUCUGCAGCCAAGCUGGUGCGUAAACAAGAUCUGCAAGUGUGUGCGCGAGUCAACUGCUCACAAGUUGUUUCAGAAAAAAAAAAAGCUGCUCACAAGUUGCUGCUGUGGCGUGCAUGCACGCCCGCACGGGUGCACCACAGCUCAAGAUUCCCUCCCUCCCGCAGCAGCAGUACCGACCGUGCGCGGCGACGCAAUUGGGCCAUGGUACGGUCCAGCAGCCGCUGGAGGCGAGCCAGCGGCGCCCAACACGAGCGCGCGUACGUGCUCUCGCUCGGCUAAGGCAGGAGGCAGCGGCGUACUGGACGUUCAUUAUUCGGGACCUGGUCGACCUCGCCGUCGUUUUCCUCGGUGGAGCCGAGCGCAGUAUUGCCCGACCCGUGGGCGCACCGGUCCACAGUAUUCCGACGGCAUUGCCGUGUCCGUCUCCACGCACCAUAUAUACCUGAGCUUCCACUCUUUUCUCCACACAACUCGCUCGCUCUCCUCUGCUCAGCAUUUUGCUCGAAAGCCACCUACUGACCUACACACACCUACCAUGGUGGCAUCGGUGGCCUGCUCCUUCUUCUUCGACGACGAGCUGCUCGGCGAGCCCGGCAUGCCGCCGAUGGACGCGUGCGCGCUCUGCGCCAAGCCGCUGGCGCGCGACCGCGACGUCUUCAUGUACAGAGGGGACACGCCCUACUGCAGCGAGGAGUGUCGGCACGAGCAGAUGCACCUCGACGCCGUCUGUGCCAAGCAGGCCGCGCGGAGGCAGCAGCGGUUCUCGGCGGAGACGGAGUCCCACCGUGGGCAACGGCAGUCCAGCAAGAAUCAUCGUCGUUUCCGUCUCUCCGGCCGGUGCUCUAGCCUGGUCCGGUGGAGGCACAGGUACAGCUUGGCGCCGCCUACAGGAGGCAAGGGAGGGCAGCAGCAUCAGGCGGCACCAAGCAUCAGUGCCUGUAGCUUCCCAUAUGUGUACAUGGCUGAUUAA
rnacentral:rRNA from 1 species